rnacentral:rRNA from 1 species
ACGACCGUACCGCAAACCGACACUGGUGCGCGAGAUGAGUAUUCUAAGGCGCUUGAGAGAACUCAGGAGAAGGAACUCGGCAAAUUGACACCGUAACUUCAGAAGAAGGUGUGCCUUUAGUAGGUGAAGUCCCUCGCGGAUGGAGCCCAAUGAGGUUGCAAAAAAUCGGUGGCUGCGACUGUUUAUUAAAAACACAGCACUCUGCAAACACGAAAGUGGACGUAUAGGGUGUGACGCCUGCCCGGUGCUGGAAGAUUAAAUGAUGGGGUGCAAGCUCUUGAUUGAAGUCCCAGUAAACGGCGGCCGUAACUAUAACGGUCCUAAGGUAGCGAAAUUCCUUGUCGGGUAAGUUCCGACCUGCACGAAUGGCGUAACGAUGGCCACACUGUCUCCUCCUGAGACUCAGCGAAGUUGAAAUGUUUGUGAUGAUGCAAUCUCCCCGCGGAAAGACGGAAAGACCCCAUGAGCCUUUACUGUAGCUUUGUAUUGGACUUUGAACAGAUCUGUGUAGGAUAGGUGGGAGGCUUUGAAGCAGGGUCGCUAGAUCUUGUGGAGCCAACGUUGAAAUACCACCCUGGUGUGUUUGAGGUUCUAACCUAGGCCCGUAUUCCGGGUUGGGGACAGUGCAUGGUAGGCAGUUUGACUGGGGCGGUCUCCUCCCAAAGUGUAACGGAGGAGUUCGAAGGUACGCUAGUUACGGUCGGACAUCGUGACGAUAGUGCAAUGGCAUAAGCGUGCUUAACUGCGAGACUGACAAGUCGAGCAGAUGCGAAAGCAGGACAUAGUGAUCCGGUGGUUCUGUAUGGAAGGGCCAUCGCUCAACGGAUAAAAGGUACUCUGGGGAUAACAGGCUGAUACCGCCCAAGAGUUCAUAUCGACGGCGGUGUUUGGCACCUCGAUGUCGGCUCAUCUCAUCCUGGGGCUGUAGCCGGUCCCAAGGGUAUGGCUGUUCGCCAUUUAAAGAGGUACGUGAGCUGGGUUUAAAACGUCGUGAGACAGUUUGGUCCCUAUCUUCCGUGGGCGCUGCAGAUUUGAGGAAGCCUGCUCCUAGUACGAGAGGACCGGAGUGGACGCACCUCUGGUGUAUCGGUUGUCACGCCAGUGGCAUUGCCGAGUAGCUAUGUGCGGAAGAGAUAACCGCUGAAAGCAUCUAAGCGGGAAACUCGUUUCAAGAUGAGAUCUGCCGGGGCCUUGAGCCCCCUGAAGAGUCGUUCAAGACCAGGACGUUGAUAGGUCGGGUGUGGAAGCGCAGCAAUGCGUUAAGCUAACCGAUACUAAUUGCUCGUGCGGCUUGACC